rnacentral:rRNA from 1 species
GGGGGCCCGCACAAGCGGUGGAGCAUGUGGUUUAAUUCGAUGCAACGCGAAAAACCUUACCCACUUUUGACACGUACGGAAUCCUUUAGAGAUAGAGGAGUGCUCGAAAGAGAACCGUAACACAGGUGCUGCAUGGCUGUCGUCAGCUCGUGUCGUGAGAUGUUGGGUUAAGUCCCGCAACGAGCGCGACCCUUGCCAUUAGUUGCUACAUUUAGUUGGGCACUCUAAUGGGACUGCCGGUGACAAACCGGAGGAAGGUGGGGAUGACGUCAAGUCCUCAUGGCCCUUAUAGGUGGGGCUACACACGUCAUACAAUGGCUGGUACAGAAGGUUGCCAACCCGCGAGGGGGAGCUAAUCCUAUAAAGCCAGUCGUAGUCCGGAUCGCAGUCUGCAACUCGACUGCGUGAAGUCGGAAUCGCUAGUAAUCGCGGAUCAGAAUGUCGCGGUGAAUACGUUCCCGGGUCUUGUACACACCGCCCGUCACACCAUGGGAGCGGGUCUCGCCAGAAGUAGGUAGCCUAACCGCGAGGAGGGCGCUUACCACGGCGGGGUUCGUGACUGGGGUGAAGUC